UACGGAGGGGGCGAGCGUUAUUCGGAAUUAUUGGGCGUAAAGGGCGCGUAGGCGGCCCUGUAAGUCAAAGGUGAAAUCCCUCGGCUCAACUGAGGAACUGCCUUUGAAACUGCCGAGCUGGAGUGCCGGAGGGGAGAGUGGAAUUCCUGGUGUAGCGGUGAAAUGCGUAGAUAUCUGGAGGAACACCGGUGGCGAAGGCGGCAUCCUGGACCAACACUGACGCUGAGUGAGCGAAAGCCAGGGGAGCAAACGGG
rnacentral:rRNA from 1 species